AUUGAACGCUGGCGGCAUGCCUUACACAUGCAAGUCGAACGGUAACAGGUCUUCGGAUGCUGACGAGUGGCGAACGGGUGAGUAAUACAUCGGAACGUGCCUAGUAGUGGGGGAUAACUACUCGAAAGAGUGGCUAAUACCGCAUGAGAUCUACGGAUGAAAGCAGGGGAUCGCAAGACCUUGUGCUACUAGAGCGGCCGAUGGCAGAUUAGGUAGUUGGUGGGAUAAAAGCUUACCAAGCCGACGAUCUGUAGCGGGUCUGAGAGGACGAUCAGCCAAACUGGGACUUAGACACGGCCCAGACUCCUACGGGAGGCAGCAGUGGGGAAUUUUGGAAAAUGGGCGCAAGCCUGAUCCAGCAAUGCCGCGUGCAGGAUGAAGGCCUUCGGGUUGUAAACUGCUUUUGUACGGAACGAAAAGCCCCGGGUUAAUACCCUGGGGUCAUGACGGUACCGUAAGAAUAAGCACCGGCUAACUACGUGCCAGCAGCCGCCGUAA
rnacentral:rRNA from 1 species